rnacentral:rRNA from 1 species
GAUGAACGCUGGCGGCGUGCCUAAUACAUGCAAGUCGAGCGAAUGAAUUAAGAGCUUGCUCUUAUGAAGUUAGCGGCGGACGGGUGAGUAACACGUGGGUAACCUGCCCAUAGGACUGGGAUAACUCCGGGAAACCGGGGCUAAUACCGGAUAACAUUUUGAACCGCAUGGUUCGAAAUUGAAAGGCGGCUUCGGCUGUCACUUAUGGAUGGACCCGCGUCGCAUUAGCUAGUUGGUGAGGUAACGGCUCACCAAGGCAACGAUGCGUAGCCGACCUGAGAGGGUGAUCGGCCACACUGGGACUGAGACACGGCCCAGACUCCUACGGGAGGCAGCAGUAGGGAAUCUUCCGCAAUGGACGAAAGUCUGACGGAGCAACGCCGCGUGAGUGAUGAAGGCUUUCGGGUCGUAAAACUCUGUUGUUAGGGAAGAACAAGUGCUAGUUGAAUAAGCUGGCACCUUGACGGUACCUAACCAGAAAGCCACGGCUAACUACGUGCCAGCCGCCGCGGUAA